UCGGGAAUUUUGGGCAAUGGGCGAAAGCCUGACCCAGCAACGCCGCGUGAGGGAUGAAGUAUUUCGGUAUGUAAACCUCGAAAGAAUGGGAAGAAUAAAUGACGGUACCAUUUAUAAGCUCCGGCUGACUACGUGCCAGCAGCCGCGGUAAUACGUAGGGAGCAAGCGUUGUUCGGAUUUACUGGGCGUAAAGGGCGCGUAGGCGGCGCGGUAAGUCACUUGUGAAAUCUCUGAGCUUAACUCAGAACGGCCAAGUGAUACUGCUGUGCUAGAGUGUGGAAGAGGCAACCGGAAUUCUUGGUGUAGCGGUAAAAUGCGUAGAUAUCAAGAGGAACACCUGAGGCGAAGGCGGGUUGCUGGGCCUACACUGACGCUGAUGCGCGAAAGCCA
rnacentral:rRNA from 1 species